CUCCUUGGGUGAUUCAUAAUAACUUAACGAAUCGCAUGGCCUUGCCGCCGGCGAUGGUUCAUUCAAAUUUCUGCCCUAUCAACUUUCGAUGGUAAGAUAGUGGCUUACCAUGGUCUCAACGGGUAACGGGGAAUUAGGGUUCUAUUCCGGAGAGGGAGCCUGAGAAACGGCUACCACAUCCAAGGAAGGCAGCAGGCGCGCAAAUUACCCAAUCCCAAUUCGGGGAGGUAGUGACAAUAAAUACUGAUACGGGGCUCUUUCGGGUCUCGUAAUUGGAAUGAGUACAAUCUAAAUCCCUUAACGAGGAACAAUUGGAGGGCAAGUCUGGUGCCAGCAGCCGCGGUAAUUCCAGCUCCAAUAGCGUAUAUUAAAGUUGUUGCCGUUAAAAAGCUCGUAGUUGAACCUUGGACCUGGCUGAUCUGUCCUCCUAAUCGAGCGCACGGAUUCGGUCGGGUCUUUCCUUCUGGGGAGCCCUAUGCCCUUCACUGGGUGUA
rnacentral:rRNA from 1 species